GAUGGGAGAAGCUAGCUAGGGAUAGGAGGAGAUUUCUCUGGUGCUGUGCUGGUUGCCGAGCUAGGCCUGGCCAGUCACCGCCAUGCGUGCGAGUAUGAAAUUUCAGCACCGCUAGCACAGGUCAAUGAUUGACAGGCCAACCACAAAAUAAGGAGACACCAACCUUCAUAGUAAAAGGUCCUACAAGAGAAGGAAUCUGACGCACUUGACCACCUGAGAUGAGAUCGGAGUGAAUCGCAAUUCACAAGCGCCAGAAGCACACCAGACUCACGCACUGCAGGCCGCAGAGCAGCGAUCUCGGAUUAACAGAUAGAUAGAUAGGUAAGCUCCAUGCCGCCGACGGGGCCCAGGAAGAAGAAGCAGAAGAAUCUUCGUCAGUUGG